rnacentral:rRNA from 1 species
GACGAACGCUGGCGGCGUGCUUAACACAUGCAAGUCGAACGGAAAGGCCUGCUUUCCCUUGUGGAUUGCGGGUACUCGAGUGGCGAACGGGUGAGUAACACGUGAGUGAUCUGCCCCCAACUUGGGUAUAAGCCUGGGAAACUGGGUCUAAUUCCCGAUAGGACUGCAGGGUGGUGCCUGUGGUGGAAAACGAUUUUCUAGUGGUUGGGGAUGAGCUCGCGGCCUAUCAGCUUGGUGGUGGGGUAAUGGCCUACCAAGGCGGCGACGGGUAGCCGGCCUGAGAGGGUGGACGGCCACAGUGGGACUGAGAUACGGCCCAGACUCCUACGGGAGGCAGCAGUGGGAAAUAUUGCACAAUGGGCGGAAGCCUGAUGCAGCGACGCCGCGUGGGGGAUGACGGCCUUCGGGUUGUAAACUCCUUUCGACCGCGAGGAAGCCACCUGGUUGGAAGGGUGGUGACGGUAGUGGUAGAAGAAGCACCGGCUAACUACGUG